AAGUGAGGAGCCCCUCCACCCGGCAGCCGCCCCGUCAGAGAAUUCCAUACCUAAGAAGGGUAUUAUCUACUCCAAUACCACAGCUGAUGAGAUACCCUUGCCAUUCUGAUAUAAUCUUGAAGACCAAUGCUACCAUGAAUGUACCAAGACAAUUCAAGAGAGAAAGGACAGUCUUUUCAACAAGUGGUGCUGGAAUGAAACUGCAGUAUAUUCAUACUAAUUGUGGCAUAUACAUACAAUGGAAUAUUGUUCAGCCAUAAAAAGGAAUGAAGUACUGAAGCAUGCUACAACAUGGAUGAACCUUGAAAACACUAUGCUAAAUGAAAGAAGCCAGUCAUAGAAGACCAUGUAUUAUAUGAUUCCAGUUCUAUGAAAUGUCCAGAAUAGGUAAAUCCAUAGCAACAGAAAAUUAAUCAUUGGUUUCCAGGGGUUUGUGGAGGGUUGACGGGGGAAGGUGAAUAGGGAGUAACUGCUAAUGAGUACAGGGUUCUUUUUAGGGAUGAUGCAAAUGUUCUGAAAUUAAUAGUGAUGGUUGCACAACUCUAGAAAUAUACUAAAAACCACUGAACUGUAGGUUGAAUUAUAUGGUAUGUGGAUUAUAUCUCAAAUAAGUUAAACAGAAAAAAGAUA
rnacentral:lncRNA from 10 species